AUUGAACGCUGGCGGCAUGCCUUACACAUGCAAGUCGAACGGCAGCACGGGUGCUUGCACCUGGUGGCGAGUGGCGAACGGGUGAGUAAUACAUCGGAACGUACCUUAUCGUGGGGGAUAACGCAGCGAAAGCUGUGCUAAUACCGCAUACGCCCUGAGAGGGAAAGCGGGGGAUCGCAAGACCUCGCGCGAUUAGAGCGGCCGAUGCCUGAUUAGCUUGUUGGUGGGGUAAAAGCCCACCAAGGCGACGAUCAGUAGCUGGUCUGAGAGGACGAUCAGCCACACUGGGACUGAGACACGGCCCAGACUCCUACGGGAGGCAGCAGUGGGGAAUUUUGGACAAUGGGGGCAACCCUGAUCCAGCAAUGCCGCGUGAGUGAAGAAGGCCUUCGGGUUGUAAAGCUCUUUUGUCAGGGAAGAAACACCGGCUCUAACACAGUCCGGGAAUGACGGUACCUGAAGAAGAAGCACCGGCUAACUACGUGCCAUCCGCCGCCGUAA
rnacentral:rRNA from 1 species